rnacentral:rRNA from 1 species
CCUCAUUUUUUGUUAUCAAGCGCAGCUAUCUGCAGUCGACGCGCAGCGAGAGGUGCUUGCACCUUUCAAGCGAGUGGCGAACGGGUGAGUAACACGUGGAUAACCUGCCUCAAGGCUGGGGAUAACAUUUGGAAACAGAUGCUAAUACCGAAUAAAACUUAGUAUCGCAUGAUAUCAAGUUAAAAGGCGCUACGGCGUCACCUAGAGAUGGAUCCGCGGUGCAUUAGUUAGUUGGUGGGGUAAAGGCUUACCAAGACGAUGAUGCAUAGCCGAGUUGAGAGACUGAUCGGCCACAUUGGGACUGAGACACGGCCCAAACUCCUACGGGAGGCUGCAGUAGGGAAUCUUCCACAAUGGGCGCAAGCCUGAUGGAGCAACGCCGCGUGUGUGAUGAAGGCUUUCGGGUCGUAAAGCACUGUUGUAUGGGAAGAAAUGCUAAAAUAGGGAAUGAUUUUAGUUUGACGGUACCAUACCAGAAAGGGACGGCUAAAUACGUGCCAGCAGCCGCGGUAAUACGUAUGUCCCGAGCGUUAUCCGGAUUUAUUGGGCGUAAGCGAGCGCAGACGGUUGAUUAAGUCUGAUGUGAAAGCCCGGAGGCUCACUCCGAAAUGCAUGAAACUGGUAACCUGAGUGUUGUAGAGUAAGUGGAACUCCAUGUGUAGCGUGGAAUGCGUAGAUAUAUGGAAGAACACCAGUGGCGAAGGGCGGCUUACUGGACAACAACUGACGUUGAGGCUCGAAAGUGUGGGUAGCAAACAGGAUUAGAUACCUGGUAGUCCACACCGUAAACGAUGAAUACUAGGUGUUAGGAGGUUCCGCCUCUUAGUGCCGAAGCUAACGCAUUAAGUAUUCCGCCUGGGGAGUACGACCGCAAGGUUGAAACUCAAAGGAAUUGACGGGACCCGCACAAGCGGUGGAGCAUGUGGUUUAAUUCGAAGCAACGCGAAGAACCUUACCAGGUCUUGACAUCCUUUGAAGCUUUUAGAGAUAGAAGUGUUCUCUUCGGAGACAAAGUGACAGGUGGUGCAUGGUCGUCGUCAGCUCGUGUCGUGAGAUGUUGGGUUAAGUCCCGCAACGAGCGCAACCCUUAUUGUUAGUUGCCAGCAUUCAGUUGGGCACUCUAGCGAGACUGCCGGUGACAAACCGGAGGAAGGCGGGGACGACGUCAGAUCAUCAUGCCCCUUAUGACCUGGGCUACACACGUGCUACAAUGGCGUAUACAACGAGUUGCCAACCUGCGAAGGUGAGCUAAUCUCUUAAAGUACGUCUCAGUUCGGACUGCAGUCUGCAACUCGACUGCACGAAGUCGGAAUCGCUAGUAAUCGCGGAUCAGCACGCCGCGGUGAAUACGUUCCCGGGUCUUGUACACACCGCCCGUCACACCAUGGGAGUUUGUAAUGCCCAAAGCCGGUGGCCUAACCUUCGGGAGGGAGCCGUCUAAGGCAGGACAGAUGACUGGGGUGAAGUCGAUCAGUGCGCAACCCGAUAGUUUCUCC